rnacentral:rRNA from 1 species
UACGUAGGGGGCAAGCGUUGUCCGGAUUUAUUGGGCGUAAAGAGCUCGUAGGCGGUGUGUCGCGUCGGCCGUGAAAACUUGGGGCUUAACUCUGAGCGUGCGGUCGAUACGGGCAUCACUUGAGUUCGGCAGGGGAGACUGGAAUUCCUGGUGUAGCGGUGAAAUGCGCAGAUAUCAGGAGGAACACCGGUGGCGAAGGCGGGUCUCUGGGCCGAUACUGACGCUGAGGAGCGAAAGCAUGGGGAGCAAACAGG